rnacentral:rRNA from 1 species
GGCGAGUGAGCGGCAAAAGCUCAAAUUUGAAAUCUGGUACCUUCGGUGCCCGAGUUGUAAUUUGGAGAGGGCAACUUUGGGGCCGUUCCUUGUCUAUGUUCCUUGGAACAGGACGUCAUAGAGGGUGAGAAUCCCGUGUGGCGAGGAGUGCGGUUCUUUGUAAAGUGCCUUCGAAGAGUCGAGUUGUUUGGGAAUGCAGCUCUAAGUGGGUGGUAAAUUCCAUCUAAAGCUAAAUAUUGGCGAGAGACCGAUAGCGAACAAGUACAGUGAUGGAAAGAUGAAAAGAACUUUGAAAAGAGAGUGAAAAAGUACGUGAAAUUGUUGAAAGGGAAGGGCAUUUGAUCAGACAUGGUGUUUUGUGCCCUCUGCUCCUUGUGGGUAGGGGAAUCUCGCAUUUCACUGGGCCAGCAUCAGUUUUGGUGGCAGGAUAAAUCCAUAGGAAUGUAGCUUGCCUCGGUAAGUAUUAUAGCCUGUGGGAAUACUGCCAGCUGGGACUGAGGACUGCGACGUAAGUCAAGGAUGCUGGCAUAAUGGUU